rnacentral:tRNA from 1 species
GCCUGGAUGGCUCAGUUGGUUGAGCAUCUGACUUCGGCUCAGGUCAUGAUCUCACGGUCCAUGGGUUCGAGCCCCAUGUCGGGCU